ACUUAUAUAGCUUAAUGGCUAAAGCAUUUGUCUCAUAAACAAAUAAUAUAGGUUCGAUUCCUUUUAUAAGUA
rfam:Ashbya gossypii (= Eremothecium gossypii) ATCC 10895 mitochondrion, complete genome.